rnacentral:rRNA from 1 species
AUUGAACGCUGGCGGCAUGCCUUACACAUGCAAGUCGAGCGGCAGCGCGGGGGCAACCCUGGCGGCGAGCGGCGGACGGGUGAGUAAUACAUCGGAACGUGUCCUUUCGUGGGGGAUAACCAGUCGAAAGACUGGCUAAUACCGCAUGAGAUCUCACGAUGAAAGCGGGGGACCCGCAAGGGCCUCGCGCGAUUGGAGCGGCCAAUGUCGGAUUAGCUAGNGGCGGGUAAAAGCCCACCAAGGCGACGAUCCGUAGCUGGUUUGAGAGAACGACCAGCCACACUGGGACUGAGACACGGCCCAGACUCCUACGGGAGGCAGCAGUGGGAAUUUUGGACAAUGGGGGCAACCCUGAUCCAGCCAUGCCGCGUGUGUGAAGAAGGCCU